rnacentral:rRNA from 1 species
GCAUAUCAAUAAGCGGAGGAAAAGAAACCAACAGGGAUUGCCUCAGUAACGGCGAGUGAAGCGGCAUCAGCUCAAAUUUGAAAUCUGGCUCUUUUAGAGUCCGAGUUGUAAUUUGCAGAGGGCGCUUUGGCAUAGGCAGCGAUUCAAGUUCCUUGGAACAGGACGUCACAGAGGGUGAGAAUCCCGUACGUGGUCGCUAGCUCUUGCCGUGUAAAGCCCCUUCGACGAGUCGAGUUGUUUGGGAAUGCAGCUCUAAAUGGGAGGUAAAUUUCUUCUAAAGCUAAAUAUUGGCCAGAGACCGAUAGCGCACAAGUAGAGUGAUCGAAAGAUGAAAAAAACUUUGGAAAGAGAGUUAAACAGCAUGUGAAAUUGUUGAAAGGGAAGCGCUUGCAGCCAGACUUGCCUGUAGUUGCUCAUCCGGGCUCUUGCCCGGUGCACUCUUCUGUAGGCAGGCCAGCAUCAGUUUGGGCGGUUGGAUAAAGGUCUCUGUCAUGUACCUCUCUUCGGGGAGGCCUUAUAGGGGAGGCGACAUACAACCAGCCUAGACUGAGGUCCGCGCAUUCGUGCUAGGAUGCUGGCGUAAUGGCUGUAAGCGGCCCGUCUUGAAACACGGACCAAGGAGUCUAACAUCUAUGCGAGUGUUUGGGUGUCAAGCCCGAGCGCGUAAUGAAAGUGAACGGAGGUGGGAACCCCUCGGGGUGCACCAUCGACCGAUCCUGAUGUCUUCGGAAGGAUUUGAGUAAGAGCAUGGCUGUUGGGGACCCGAAAGAUGGUGAACUAUGCUUGAAUAGGGUGAAGCCAGAGGAAACUCUGGUGGAGGCUCGCAGCGGUUCUGACGUGCAAAUCGAUCGUCAAAUUUGGGCAUAGGGGCGAAAGACUAAUCGAACUAUCUAGUAGCUGGUUCCUGCCGA